AUCUUUAGCUCAGUUGGUAGAGCAACUGACUCUUAAUCAGUGGGCCAAGAGUUCGAGUCUCUUAAGAUCC
rnacentral:tRNA from 3 species